rnacentral:rRNA from 1 species
CACGUAGGGACCAAGCGUUGUCCGGAAUCAUUGGGCGUAAAGAGCGUGUAGGCGGUCCGGUAAGUCGGCUGUGAAAGUCCAGGGCUCAACCCUGGGAUGCCGGUCGAUACUGCCGGACUAGAGUUCGGAAGAGGCGAGUGGAAUUCCCGGUGUAGCGGUGAAAUGCGCAGAUAUCAGGAGGAACACCUAUGGCGAAGGCAGCUCGCUGGGACGUUACUGACGCUGAGACGCGAAAGCGUGGGGAGCAAACAGG